CAAAAUUUAUCCUAAUCCUAGAGAUUUGCUUAUCUUCUUCCAGUGGAAAUUCCCUACUUAUCAACGAGAAUGUCAUCAGACGGACCGAUCCGCGGACAUCAUUAUGAAAUCCCUUCCUUAUUUACAUAUGCCUGUUACUCAGAAUUUCUGGUGGACACACUUCACCGAGUCGUGGGAUUCACUGGAGCAAACUUCUAAGCUGAUUUUUUUAGGAUCAAGAUUCUUCGAAUCUUGAGAUUCUAGACGAUUUUCGACAAUCAAAAAACGGUGGGGGAAGAUCAGAAUAGAAUUAAGGAUAGUUAGCCAUUUGCUCAUCAAGAUUUCAAUAUUCUUGUAGGUACAUACAAUUUUUGAAAGUAUGCAAUUUAUAUAAACCGAGGAUUUCUUAACUUUA